rnacentral:siRNA from 1 species
AGUUUUUGGCUGAUGUGAUGA